AACGAACGCUGGCGGCGUGGAUAAGACAUGCAAGUCGAACGGGACUAAAUCUGUAGCAAUACAGGUUUAGUUUAGUGGCGAACGGGUGCGUAACACGUGGGCAAUCUGCCGAGAAGUGGGGGAUAGCUCGCCGAAAGGCGAAUUAAUACCGCAUAUGAUCAGCUAAGACAUCUUAGCGACAUCAAAGCCGGGGCAACCUGGCGCUACUCGAUGAGCCCGCGGCCUACCAGCUAGUUGGUGAGGUAACGGCUCACCAAGGCUAUGACGGGUAGCUGGUCUGAGAGGACGACCAGUCACACUGGAACUGAGACACGGUCCAGACACCUACGGGUGGCAGCAGUCGAGAAUUUUUCUCAAUGGGGCAACCCUGAAGGAGCGACGCCGCGUGGAGGAUGAAGGCUUUC
rnacentral:rRNA from 1 species